rnacentral:rRNA from 1 species
GAUGAACGCUGGCGGCGUGCUUAACACAUGCAAGUCGAGCGAUGAAGUUUCCUUCGGGAAACGGAUUAGCGGCGGACGGGUGAGUAACACGUGGGUAACCUGCCUCAUAGAGUGGAAUAGCCUUCCGAAAGGAAGAUUAAUACCGCAUAAUGUUGAAAGAUGGCAUCGUCAUUCAACCAAAGGAGCAAAUCCGCUAUGAGAUGGACCCGCGGCGCAUUAGCUAGUUGGUGGGGUAACGGCCUACCAAGGCGACGAUGCGUAGCCGACCUGAGAGGGUGAUCGGCCACAUUGGGACUGAGACACGGCCCAGACUCCUACGGGAGGCAGCAGUGGGGAAUAUUGCACAAUGGGGGAAACCCUGAUGCAGCAACGCCGCGUGAGUGAUGAAGGUUUUCGGAUCGUAAAGCUCUGUCUUUGGGGAAGAUAAUGACGGUACCCAAGGAGGAAGCCACGGCUAACUACGUG